GUGAACCUGCGGAAGGAUCAUUACCGAGUGAGGGCCCUCUGGGUCCAACCUCCCACCCGUGUUUAUUUUACCUUGUUGCUUCGGCGGGCCCGCCUUUACUGGCCGCCGGGGGGCUCACGCCCCCGGGCCCGCGCCCGCCGAAGACACCCUCGAACUCUGUCUGAAGAUUGAAGUCUGAGUGAAAAUAUAAAUUAUUUAAAACUUUCAACAACGGAUCUCUUGGUUCCGGCAUCGAUGAAGAACGCAGCGAAAUGCGAUACGUAAUGUGAAUUGCAAAUUCAGUGAAUCAUCGAGUCUUUGAACGCACAUUGCGCCCCCUGGUAUUCCGGGGGGCAUGCCUGUCCGAGCGUCAUUGCUGCCCUCAAGCCCGGCUUGUGUGUUGGGCCCCGUCCUCCGAUUUCCGGGGGACGGGCCCGAAAGGCAGCGGCGGCACCGCGUCCGGUCCUCGAGCGUAUGGGGCUUUGUCACCCGCUCUGUAGGCCCGGCCGGCGCUUGCCGAUCAACCCAAAUUUUUAUCCAGGUUGACCUCGGAUCAGGUAGGGAUACCCGCUGAACUUAAGCAUAU
rnacentral:rRNA from 1 species